CACGGAGGGUGCAAGCGUUGUCCGGAUUUAUUGGGUUUAAAGGGCGCGUAGGCGGUCGUGACAAGUCACUUGUGAAAUCUCCGGGCUUAACUCGGAACGGUCAAGUGAUACUGUCGGACUAGAGUACAGAAGGGGCAACUGGAAUUCUCGGUGUAGCGGUGAAAUGCGUAGAUAUCGAGAGGAACACCUGCGGCGAAGGCGGCUACCUGGACAAUUGCUGACGCUCAGGCACGAAAGCGUGGGGAGCAAAAGGG
rnacentral:rRNA from 1 species